GCAUUCAAAGCGGAGAGGUAC
rnacentral:misc_RNA from 1 species